UUGAUUUCGGCUUGCCCCUCAACAAAACACAACCGCAAGCCAUCAAAAUACCAAAUUCCAAAUACCAAAUACGAAACGCGUCGAAGAAUCCGUGUAAGCCGCGGUACGCAAGAGGCAAAAGGUCCGGAGGCUAAUGAUGCGAACGACUGAAUGAAAAUCUCAACAAGCAGCCAAACCAACCAAAAUUGAAGGAGCUGCAAAAUAAAUCAAACAAACGAGCCCAACCAGAACACAACUAACCAGGGCCAAGACACAAGCUGAGCCGAGCCGAGCCAAGUUGAGUUGAGCUGGGCUCAGUUUGAUGAAUUGCAGCACAGCGCAACAUUGACUUGGCCAGUUUUGCUCAGUUGAUGGACGAUUUGGUCGAGGCCUGUAGCUGCUCUCUCCCUCUCUCUCUCUCUCUUUCUAGUAACUACUUUUUCUUGUUGGUUCGUGGCUCAAACCAAACUGCGGGCUUGUGGGCUGCUCAUGUUAGUCAAACAACAGCGUCUUGUGGCAGGGGCAAAGGGGCAAAGGGGCAAGGGCCGAAAAUGGUUUUAUAAUUAUAAGGGUCGCAUUCAGGUUGACUGCAAAUGAUCGGUUGUCCGACGUCAGCUCGUUGACGCCCCUCAAAAAGGCAAUCCUCUUGCCCCAUAAUUAGAGCAACAAUACCCUGGGAAACAGCGCAUUGCGCUGGCUCAAUUACAAAUUAUAUUGCUGCAACGAGUCCUCUCCUAAGCCAAACAGCUACAA